UAAAGUUGGAGGCAGCAUCCAUGUUCACUGCCCCCUCUGACUUUGCUGUCUCCAGUACUAGGGAUAUUGAUAUAAAAUGGACAAACUUCUCUUAGGCCUUUCUCUUCUCUGCCUCACAUGGACUAUGUCUGGGGGAUGGUGUACAAAGUGUCCAAAAAGAUCCAUGACAAUCACUGGCACAAGGGGUCCCAGGUCCACUUUGAAGUUGGAUCCUUCUCAUGGUUUCAACAAGGAAGAAGAAUAUCUCCUGGAAAAGACAGGGUAGUCUCAGAUGGAAAUGGUUCAAAGAAUGGGCCUUCAGAUUCUUUCCCCAUCUCUGAAAGCAUUUUAGCUAAUAGAAACUUCCAUUACAAGCAGAGCCAAGCUUAACGUUUGCACCUUGUUUUCUAUUAUUCCAACAGCUUCUCAGAAUCUGAAAUGUAAAACUUGUUAGCAUGUUUUUUCCAAAAGGAGAUUGCGUUAGUGGACUUAGCACCUGUACUGCAAAAAUAAAUGAGACCUGUUCAACUGAGAGAA